CCUACGGGAGGCAGCAGUGGGGAAUAUUGCACAACGGGCGAAAGCCUGAUGCAGCGACGCCGCGUGAGCGAUGAAGGCCUUCGGGUCGUAAAGCUCUGUCCUAAGGGAAGAAGAUUGACGGUACCUUAGGAGGAAGCCCCGGCUAACUACGUGCCAGCAGCCGCGGUAAUACGCAGGGGGCUAGCGUUAUCCGGAAUUACUGGGCGUAAAGGGUGCGUAGGCGGCAUUAUAAGUCAGGUGGGAAAGGCUUCGGCUCAACCGAAGUGAGCACUUGAAACUGUCGGCCUUGAGUGCAGGAGAGGACAGUGGAAUUCCCAGUGUCGCGGUGAGAUGCGUAGAUAUUGCGAGGGACUCCAGUUGCGCAGGCGGCUCACUCGACUGUAACGGCGGCUGAGUCACGAACGCGUGGGGAGCGAACAGGAUUAGAUACCCGAGUGGUC
rnacentral:rRNA from 1 species